GGAGAAGGCAGAGGCUUCUUGUUCAUGCCACAGUCUGGGUUGCCUCACUUUCCUGUGUGGCUUCCAGUUUUGACAUUAUCUAAAUAACUAAUUCCUCAUCUAGCAUUUAUUUAUUUUAAGAGAAAUCUCUGUGCUUUUUUGUUUAAUUUUAGAAAUUGGUUGUUUACUGAUACACUUUGGGGGAAAAUCUGGAAAUGAUUUUGAACCAGUAUGUGUGUUGAGGAGGUGUUGGCUACCUGCCUGGCAAAAGAUAAUUGGAAGUGGCAGUGAGUUAUUAUUGAAGUGGCCAUGCCAUUCUGGUGAGGAGUUCUUUUCUGUCACCACCAUGAAAAUAUCAUUCUACUGGCUUUUUGCUAAGAAGUCUGCUGUUAAUCUCAGAGACUUUUUCAAAAAUGCAUUUUUUCCAUGACUUGCUUUUGAGAUCUUUGUUUUUCUUCAGUGGUCUACAGCUUUACUACAAUAUUUGAAGCUUUUUGCUGUGUGAAUGCCCUAAUGCCAAUGAAGGUCUGUGAAGCCUUUAACCUUUUGGACAUCACAACUUCUUCUAAGCAAAAAGAAAACAAAAGUCUGACCUUAAGAAAAUAGGACCUUCCAUUUUCUAGCUCCUGGAACACUUCCACUUAGCACCCAGCCAUCAGACUGUGUAUGAGGAGAGGAACUGAGACCUGCAGACCAAUAACCUAAGCUGAACUCGCAGCUGAAAGCUAACCCACCUCUAAUGGACUCUCCACUCAAAAUCCAGAUUAGUGAACCAAAUAUAUGACUGUUGUUUUUAAGCCACUAUGUUUUAGCAUGGUAUGUUACACACCAAUAGAUAACUAAAACUGUUCUCUCACCAUCUCAACAUCCUCUUCAUAUUUUCUAAAUAAUAAAAUAUGCCAUUUGAUUUUACAAGAAACAAAUGUUAGAUGGCAGGGCUGAAGUUAAAUGGGAACCUAAUGUUCACAACGACUAACAGAUUUGUAAAUUGAGCUUAUAUGUCUACAUCAAAGUUCUCAAUCUUUAUUUAUGCUAUAGUUUAAAGCAUGACUAUACUUUUCAGCUGACUCUCUUGAAAAGUGGAGUAUAAUUAAUAUAUUGAUACCUGGAUAUAUUAUAUUUUAGUUCAUGAUUCCAUUUAGUCCUGAAAAAUAGAAGGCAUUGUCAUUUUGUAGACAUCUCCUUGAUAUAUUUGUGUUAGAGUUAACUCAAUUUUUUAAAUGUAAGAUUUAACUCUAUGACACUAAUCACCUGUCAUCAGUCACUGACUAUAGUUCAAUAUCAUUUGAGUCACCAAGGCUAAGAUAUACCAGAUAACUGUUUCAGUACAGGUGAUUUGCAUUUAUCAUCUAAGAGCUUAUAAGAACCUCCUCUCACUAAAAUAUCAGAGGUCUAACUUUUACCCCCUUCCUCACAUCAAAAGCAUAAAACGCUGAGAUAUAUAAAGAGGAGAUUUCAGGGAGUUUGAGAACUUACUCAAAUGAUGUAACUCAUUUGACAAAUGACUUGCUUCAUGCAUCUUUUAGAUAGCUAAGUCCAAUUAGCUAAAAUUAUAGUUGAAUUGAAUAUGUAAAUAUCUAUAAAGUUGGCCUAAUUAGAUCCAUAGGGUGGUGUAGCAUCUGUGUUUAAAGCCCAGCAAUUGUGAAGAGGUUUUGGUUGCAAGCUUAGGGGAGGCUGUGAAGACUGGCAAGUCUAAGUCCUCCCGUGGAAUCUGAGAUUUCACAGGUAGUAUCUGAGGAUGGGUGUGAGAUUACUGCUCAAGCCAGAAAGAUUAACAGCUGCCUCAAUGGGAAUAAGAGUCACUAGGAAAUUUGAUUCUAUCAUUCCUGAAUCCAAGGUGGCGUUAACAAGCUUAUUAUGUAAGAAAGCAGCCUCUGUUACUAAUCUAAGCUGUAUCUGUUUUUCUGCUUACGCCUAUGAACCAGAACAUAAGAAGUAGUAGAACAAAUGAUAUGAAUCUACAAAUUAUGCCACGUAUUUUAAUUCUUCACUAUUUAAAUAAUUAAAAACUAAGUUUUCUUCUAAAUGUGUCACAUAGUAUAGAUUUUCUAGGGUGCACUUAAGAAAUUUGGUGUACUCAAGAUGAUCAACCUGUCUCAAAAUAAACUUAGAUUUUUUGAAGACUCUUCUGUUAAAUUGGACUUUGACCAUCACUGACACUUAUUUUGACCUUAUAAUACCAUAAAUAUGUACCCUUGAUCAAGACUCCAGCUGAUAGACCCUUAGCAUAGAUACAUAAAAAUAAUAAACCUUAUCUGAACAUCUGUUUUAAGUCAGCUUUUGCUGUGGAAGCUGUUACAAUUACAAAUUAUUUCCAUUUGAUUUCACUGAAAUUCAAUUAACUUCGAGCAAAAAUUAGCAACACUAAUUUUUAAAUAAGGAUGGGGUGAAGGUGAUAGUUAUUGUGGAGCAUUGAUAUGAUAGAAGCAGUGAGGGUAGAAAAUGUGUGAACGUUAAAUGCCUUUAUUACUCAUUUUACAUUUCAUCAGGUAUCAGAUGGCAUGAAAAUACGCUGUCUUGGUCUAUUUUCUUGCUACCACCCCUAAGAUAUCACAUACUUGGCUGUUUCUUAUUCUAAAACCACAGUCCCUUGGGGGCUAGCUAUUAUUUUAAUGAUCAGAGUGAUGAUGAGUCUCUGAAUACCUUAAGGUUUGUAUACUAAGGAUUAUCUCAAUUUAGCUAACAUAAGCUCUAUGAAUGUGUUGCAUAUAAAAUCAUUUUAUCUAAGGCCACAUAUUCUCAAAAGACAUAUUAUGUUGUAUUUUACACCUGAUGCAUUUACAGUUACCACUAACAAGCAAGAAAAAAAUCUCCUCUACAGAGUUUGAAGUAUAUAUUUUUAAAUUAUUGUUGCUUCUAAAAAUACAAAAAUAGAUUUGGAGGUUGAUAUUUUUGGCAGGGGCUCUGAAUAUUUUCAUGUGGAAGUCAGCAACCUAAUAAGCCUGACUUACUGAGUGGAUCAGUGGGUUGUAAUUCUGGUAACUUAUUUUUUAACUAGCUUGAGGCUAGGUCUAUCUCAAUUAUGCUUCAGGUUGUAUAAUAGAUUAUAUGGCAUAUUCAAUAAAGUUGAUAUUGUAUUAAACACAGUAGAGACAAUUAAUGAAUAUUUUUUUCUCGUGAGUUGAUAUUUUAAAAAGAGUUAAUUAUGUAGAAUUUUUUGAAAGGCUUUAUUCAAUAGGACUCAAUACCGGUCUGAUCAUCAUCCUACGAUAAUGGGAUAUGGGUCACAGCAGGGAGAAAAUCAAUAGUGCUGAUGGGCUAUUUUAUUUAAAUCUCAAGCAGUUUUCUCUUCAUAAUAAGAAGAUGUUUUCCAAUUAAAUUGUAAAUUUGAACUAAUAUAUUGUUUUAUAUAAGAUACUUUAUAACUUA
rnacentral:lncRNA from 10 species